rnacentral:rRNA from 1 species
UACGUAGGGGCAAGCGUUGUCCGGAAUUAUUGGGCGUAAAGCGUGCGCAGGCGGUCUCUUAAGUCUGAUGUGAAAUCUCGCAGCUUAACUGUGAGCGGUCAUUGGAAACUGAGGGACUUGAGGACAGGUGAGGAGAGUGGAAUUCCACGUGUAGCGGUGAAAUGCGUAGAGAUUAGGAAGAACACCAGUGGCGAAGGCGAUUCUCUGGACUGUAACUGACGCUGAGGCUCGAAAGCGUGGGGAGCAAACAGGAUUA